GUCGGGGUGGCUCAGCCUGGUUAGAGCGCCUGACUCAUAAUCAGGAGGUCGCGGGUUCGAAUCCCGCCCCCGACA
rnacentral:tRNA from 1 species